GCUAAUGACGGUACCUGAAGAAUAAGCACCGGCUAACUACGUGCCAGCAGCCGCGGUAAUACGUAGGGUGCAAGCGUUAAUCGGAAUUACUGGGCGUAAAGCGUGCGCAGGCGGUUUUGUAAGUCUGUCGUGAAAGCCCCGGGCUCAACCUGGGAAUUGCGAUGGAGACUGCAAGGCUUGAAUCUGGCAGAGGGGGGUAGAAUUCCACGUGUAGCAGUGAAAUGCGUAGAGAUGUGGAGGAACACCGAUGGCGAAGGCAGCCCCCUGGGUCAAGAUUGACGCUCAUGCACGAAAGCGUGGGGAGCAAACAGGAUUAGAUACCCUGGUAGUCCACGCCCUAAACGAUGUCUACUAGUUGUCGGGUUUUAAUUAACUUGGUAACGCAGCUAACGCGUGAAGUAGACCGCCUGGGGAGUACGGUCGCAAGAUUAAAACUCAAAGGAAUUGACGGGGACCCGCACAAGCGGUGGAUGAUGUGGAUUAAUUCGAUGCAACGCGAAAAACCUUACCUACCCUUGACAUGUCAGGAAGGCCGGAGAGAUCUGGCUGUGCCCGAAAGGGAACCUGAACACAGGUGCUGCAUGGCUGUCGUCAGCUCGUGUCGUGAGAUGUUGGGUUAAGUCCCGCAACGAGCGCAACCCUUGUCAUUAGUUGCUACAUUUAGUUGAGCACUCUAAUGAGACUGCCGGUGACAAACCGGAGGAAGGUGGGGAUGACGUCAAGUCCUCAUGGCCCUUAUGGGUAGGGCUUCACACGUCAUACAAUGGUACAUACAGAGGGCCGCCAACCCGCGAGGGGGAGCUAAUCCCAGAAAGUGUAUCGUAGUCCGGAUCGCAGUCUGCAACUCGACUGCGUGAAGUUGGAAUCGCUAGUAAUCGCGGAUCAGCAUGUCGCGGUGAAUACGUUCCCGGGUCUUGUACACACCGCCCGUCACACCAUGGGAGCGGGUUUUACCAGAAGUAGGUAGCUUAACCGCAAGGGGGGCGCUUACCACGGUAGGAUUCGUGACUGGGGUGAAGUCGUAACAAGGUAGCCGUAUCGGAAGGUGCGGCUGGAUCACCUCCUUU
rnacentral:rRNA from 2 species